rnacentral:ncRNA from 1 species
AAGGCGGCAUCCGAAAAGCUGAUAGAGUAGGGA